rnacentral:rRNA from 1 species
CAGCAGCCGCGGUAAUACGUAGGGUGCAAGCGUUAAUCAGAAUUACUAGGCGUAAAGCGUGCGCAGGCGGUUUGUUAAGACGGAUGUGAAAUCCCCGGGCUCAACCUGGGAACCGCAUUCGUGACUGGCAAGCUAGAGUAUGGCAGAGGGGGGUGGAAUUCCACGUGUAGCUGUGAAAUGCGUAGAGAUGUGGAGGAACACCGAUGGCGAAGGCAGCCCCCUGGGCCAAUACUGACGCUCAUGCACGAAAGCGUGGGGAGCAAACAGGAUUAGAUACCCGCGUAGUCCCUGUCUCUUAUAC